ensembl:lncRNA
CAUUGGCAUAUUUCUAAUAAUUUAAUGUCACAAGGCACAGAGAGAGGAGUGCCUAGACUCCAAGAGCUGUGUUUAUGUUACUGAUUUUACUUUAAUAUUGCACAAUUACAAUUUGUCAAAUGCUUGGACCAAGGACACUCCAGUAAAUCAGAGAUAAUAUAAUGGGUGGUCAAUUAAAUGCAGUGAAUAACAUAAACCUGACACACCUGUUUAAAACAGACAUUUGCUUACAUAUGAUUAUCGUAGAUUCUGUGUUGAAUAGUGUAGCUUUUUUGCGCAGUAGAAAAAAAUUGAUACAUUUAUUUAAUGAGAACAUAUUUGCUCCGUAUCAAAUCAUUUCAAAUGGUCUCACAGGCUCAAGCACUCUCCUCAAUUUCCCCCCAAAUUCACCCUUAAAGCCGGGCAGUCUGUUCAUGUAUGCUUCACUGUUUGCCAGUGUUUUUACAUUGACGUUUGGUGAAAGACUGGUCCACCUCGGUGGUCCUCCUCCGUGGGUGAACAGAUCUGGGCAGCUAACGGAGGCGGCUCCCACAACCCCCCCACUGACCUGGUGUGGAAGACCCAGAACUCCUGGGGCAGCGUAGACCUGUUCCACACCACCCUCAUCAGUGCCAGCGGAGAGGAAAUGGCCACGAGGAAGAUCACAUGAACUCUAUUCCAGGAUGAGGAGGAGGAGGAGAUGGGAAUUUUUUGGAGCUGUCUUUUUAAAAAAAAAAUUAAACACCAUUUUAGAUGAAAUAUAAAUAGUUUAAUAUGAAAUCCUUUACAAUCCCUGUACAGACCAGAUCAUUUCUGGUUCAAUUAAGGGAGGCCCCCGGCCAGAGAACUGCUCCAUCAUGUAGACUCCGAGCCCCAGACCCUCAAGCCAGCCUGGGACAUCCAUCCACAGCCUUCCCCUCAUAAGGGUUAUUUUUCUAUCAUUUUUUCAUUUUUUUUUAUAUAUGUUAAGAAUCAGUCUUAUUGUGUAUGAUGUAAGCAGCAGGGUGGGGUUGUGGAUUAGAUAUAUGCGUGUGGCAAAGGGCCCAUAAAAGGACUGG